CCUCCGAUUCCCGGCCUUUUGCCCUUCGAUCGGUGCCUUUUUACGCCGCCGAUGUUGCUGCCGUUACUUGCUUGCUGUUGCUAACCUCGUCCGUGCGCCUCGACCCGCGGCCGCCCGUGCGUGUGCCCGCCGCGGCAUGGCCGCGUCCGCCUGCGCUGCUGCCGCUCCUUGCACUGCUGCAGCUUGCUCCUGCUGCUGGCUGCUUCUCCUGCCGCUGCGCCGCCGCCGCUGCCUCUUGCUACAGACGCACCCACCGCAGCCGCUCGUACACACAUGCGCACCUGCUCGCCGUCCUCGUGCGUGCCAUGGCUAGCAAUGGCCGCAUGGCCGCAUGUGCCCUGUGUGUGCGUGUAUGCACAGCCAUGGGAACGGCUUGUGCCACCGCACAUGGGGCCGGCCAGAUUAGUUUAGCACUAAUCAGGCUAACUACCUCCCUAUGACAUGUGGAGCCCUCACCACUAAUUAAUCUAAUAUACUAGGAUACUUUAGUUACUGACUGUGACAUGUGGGACCUUCCCAUUAAUCAACCAGUUUAUUUAGCCUUUAAAUAAAUAUUGAGACAAUGACACAUGGGACCCACUUACACUGUUCUAUACUAGUAAAUGUGCCCGUGCGUUGAGAAAAAUAUCUCAGUUUUAUAAUUAAGUUUAGUGGCUCAACAUCCAAGCUCUAGAUCAAUACUUAGCAUUAAUUUCUCUAAUCCAUAUACCUAGACAAUCGGCAACAUGGACUUAAAUAUAUGUCCGUGCGUUGCAACGGUGAUAUAAAUAUUCUAAUGGCGCUAUCAAGACGAAUAGCACAGAAGAAUUUUGAUUUGAAAUGUUGCCAUGACUACUUCUGUGUUGCAAAUUUUCCUUGCCUUAUACCCCAGGUCACCCUAAAUCAUUAUACAUAAAUAUAUGGAUGUGCCAAAAAAUAGGUUAAGCUAACUACAAUACUUACAAUACAAUAGUUAUGAAAUUCUUACACAGGGAGGAAGCAUGCAAACAAUGGCUAUCCUACAUCGCAAGUAUUUCUUGUAGAAUAUCCAGCAUUUUCCAGACUGAGCUCCUAUUGAUUUCAGACAAGCCAGAUAGCCCUUCUUCUCCUGUUUGAAAAGGCAGCUCUCAUAAAUAUAACAAGACGAAUACAACUAACCAGGAUGUACUUGUUUGCUUGUGCAAGUGACUGAGAGGAAAUACACCUUUUUUUAAGGAGCUAUGGGUCUCCCCUAUUUCCAACAAACGCCCCACCUAUUAGAAGUAACAAGGUUAUUCGAAGGUUGUAAGUUAGUCACAGGGUAGAAAACUGGCAACACAGGAAUGGAAACCAAUAUUCUUUUGUCGGUUGUCUGAAGCUAACAAAUUAGAAUUGUCCACACCUGCACUCCCAAGAACGUCAGGAUUCAGACUGCCAUGCCGCCGCUUGCAAUGCCCAAAUGCUGCAGGUUUCACAGGGCACAUCCAAUUGCUGCAGCCUGAGUGUGAGAUGGCCAACAAUAUGUUCCGGCCAUCCAAGACAAGCAGUGUGGUAUCCUCGCUCAAGCACACCAUCAAACCUCCAAAACUGCUCCCUGGUGCCAUAAUCACAUAUUGCAGGCUUUCAGUCAUAUAUGGAUUGCAAAUUUCUUCCAGCUGGUAUAACAUGCAAUCUUACUAUAUGUAUUAUCACUAAUGCACACCUUCAACCAAAUAACUACAGAGAUGUAGAGUGGAACCAUAUAGUACCUGUGAACGCGACGGCGAUUUUUUUGCUGGAACUAUUCUUUUUUUUGCUGGGACCGGCCAAACUUUUUGCUGCGACCCAGCUACGGCGAGUCAUUAUUUUUGCUGGAACCUACGAGUUUUAUUGCUGGAAACAUACAUUUGUUUUGUUAGAAGAAAAUAUAAAUAGAGCAUUAACUAACAGCAAGGCUAUUGGAUCUUGACACCAAAAUAGUCAAGAUCUUAGUUAAUUAAAAAAUAGUAAGAUCUUUAGUACAUGAUACCACUGAACAUGCGCAAGAUUCUUACAAAGUUUAACCAAGAAAGAAUAAUAUAAUAAAAGCACUUGAUCAAGACAGUUGCAACUCCUGUACCAAAUUUCUGUGAAGCUCUUCUAGCUGGUAUAAUAUGAAAACUUACUAUUUAUAUUAACACAGCCAACCACUAAUGUACACAUUCAGACAUGUAAAGUGGAACCAUAUAGCAUUGGUCUCAAGCACUAAUGCACACCUUCAGCCAGUUAAGUACAGAGACGGUAGAGUGGAACUAUAUAGCAUUGGUCUCAAGCACUAAUGCGCACCUUCAGCCAGUUAAGUACAGAGACGGUAGAGUGGAACUAUAUAGCACUGAUCUCAAGCACUAAUGCGCACCUUCAGCCAAUUAAGUACAGAGAUAUAGAGUGGAACUAUAUAGCACUGGUCUCAAGCACUAAUGCGCACCUUCAGCUAAGUAAGUACAAAGAUGUAGAGUGGAACCAUAUGGCACUGUUCUUACCAAGAUUAACAAAAAAGAGUCUUGUUCUCAGUGGCGGAGCUUGAAUGGAAAAGCUGGGCGGGCCAGACUAAAAGGAGAGCACAAUUUUUUUUGAAAUUCUGAAAGCUUUUUUAUUCUUCGCGCUUCUAAAAUCUGUGAUGACAUUAUCGUGGUUGUUGUUUUUUUCAAUUCGAGCAAUGGCAACAUGAUCUUUCUCAAUUUGAGUUAUGUCAUUUCUUUUCCUGUUAAAAACCAUAUCAAUUCUUCUCUUGAGUCUGAUUUUCUUUGCCCAUUACUACCUACGUUGCAAUUUGUAUAAGAUGAGGACUGCAUUAUGUGCCAAAGAUCAUGUUGCUUUUUUAAUAGCAUGUUUAACAACCUGCAUCUUAUUCCGACUAUGCACAUAACUCAAAUUGUACAUGUUGCCAAAGAACAUGUUAAUUUUUUCAGUUCAUUGCAUGUCAUGCAGACUCAAAUCAGGACUGCAUUUUGCGCCAACAAACAUGCAUAAGAUGUACUCAACUGAAAAAAAGAACAGGCUAAUUUGGGGGAAAGAUAGUAGUGUACGUUCUGCUGUGUAUGUGCAGCUAUGCAGUGGGCACUUGCGCCAGCAGUGGGUUGAGCUGGAGAGAGGACGGGGGGAUGAGCUGCCUGCCUGAGAGGAGAUGUGUCGCCUGAGAGGAGAUGUGUCGCCUGGUUAAUAGGCUCUGCAGAAAGACUGUAAGGAAAUCUCCUACAGUAUAAUUGAUGCAACAAACCCAAAUUGCAAAUACCAUGCCUUGAACCUGGGUGGGUGGGAAGGCAUCAACCCCUUCCCACCACUAGGCUAUGCCUUAGUCUGCCUAAACACGAAUUUCUUGGGCACAUUAUUAAAUUUGCAGGAGAGAACUUCAAGACAACACAAAACUAUAUGAUGUACAGAGUAUGUACUUAUGAAGGAAAAAACAGAGCAUGUGGAUUAAAAUUUGAUGUUCUGUUUCACAUGUACCCCAAAGACCAAAUGCUCUGCAGUUAAUUACUGAAUGUCUAUUCUGCAAUGAACUACUAA